UCCAUGCUCUUCCUGCACUUCCAGCUUCUUGCUUUGUGGUUCUGGGAUGGAAAUCUGGAAGAACUCCAAAACUUCAGAGAUUUUAGAAGAGGACAGUGGUUUGUUCCUUUUCAGAAUUUUGAAACAAGAUUGACUAAAAAUCUCAACAAGUAUACACACAAAGUAUUAACUCUAAACAAAAUCCGAGAUGCCAAUAUACUACAGUAACAAGAUAUAGGGUGAAGCUACUAAAGUAUAUUAAGUUGUCUUUGGAACAUCUCAUGUUCUUCUAUUUAGAAAAGGCCAUAUACACCCAGUACAUAUUUGCAACCAGUGUAAUUCCUUCCUAUUGCCUUCAGAAAGUUUUGGAUAGCUUAAAGCGUUUGCUAUAAUAUGUACUUUGGAUGACACUGAAAACAAGGGAGGGAAGGGGAAAAAAAACAGAACACCAACCAAAUGCAUAGAGGAAAAAAAAAAAACCAGAAACACAUCUCAGUUGUAAUCUAGUGCCUGCUUUCAUCUUCACUUUUUCUCUUUGUUCUCACCUUGGCUGGCAUAAAAACAGCCUUGGCGGUGAUGGAAAGUUUCAUUUCUGAAUUUUGAAGCCAGUCUAAUGUCUUUCAUAAGAUAACAUCCUCAGUUACCUCUGCAUUAGUACAUGCUGAGAAGUUUUGUGGAUUUGAAUGUGAGGGAGUCAGAAGCCUGAAAGAGUCAGGUUUGUUAACAAGUCAACAGCCUCUUUCACAAUACUUCCAGUCUAACCUGAAAUGGAUGGUACCAGGCACUGCAGGGAAAAAACUACUCCUAACAGCUUCUGUGGAGAGUUUGUAGAUGGUGGAAAAGGCACUCUUUGUUCAUGCUGUAUGCUAGAACCGAUUUAUUACAUAUGUAACAAUAAUGCAUGUUAUUAUUUCAAGACAUGCUGCUGUUCUUCUUGACUGCCUUGUGCCUCUGCAGUGCAGAACAACCACGCUCCCUUCCAGUUGGUAUGAGGUAUGUUUCAGCCCUCUCCUUGUUCUCCCUUUCCCCUCUGGCAGAGCACUGGCCUAGGAGAAGGCACGACUGCUCCUCACAGAGCUGCACCAGCCCCACGCAGCCCCAGCCUUGCACCACUUGAACGUUGCUGGUCUUUGAUGGGAUUAGUACCAAUGUGCCCACAAGUCGUUCGGUAUCAGCUGAGCAGCAUUUACUUCAACAGCCCUGGCUCAGCCUCUGUCUCACCAAAACCUGUUGAAAAACCUGUGGCCUCUGUCCUGUCUGAAGUAGAGCCCCAGGGAAUUUAGUACCUGUACCUACGAGCCCCUUCUGACCCUGAUAAUGUUGAUAUCUGGUACUAUUCCUUCAUCUCUUUUGUAAAGUUGAAUUCUCAAUUCUGUACUGGGAACUGUGUCUUGACUGAGAGGGCUAUCUGUGAGAAGACAGAAGAGUUGUUAGGAAAAGUAAGAAUCAACAACAAUUACUAUGGAAACAGAGCUCACGCUUUUUCCUGCAAACAGCAGGAUACUUACCCGUUUUUUAGGCACUGAAGAAUGGUGGUUCUAGAGAUGAGCGCCGUUCUCAGGAAAAUCCCCUUUUCCUUCAAUUUCCAAAUACUAUUGGCUGUAACACUGCACCUGGCCAUAACAUUCUAUGGAAGUCACUGAUGGCGAUUUAAUUAAAAUAGCCUGAUGUGAACCUGGGAGUGAUGAUUAAGCCUAAAGUUCAAUGGGGAGUCCACGUGAGAAACAGCACUGACAUUUUUGUCAACCCCUAUUUAUCAAUGGCUGCAUUGCAUCAGCUGGGAUUUCUUCACUCUAUCAGGUGUAAUAGAUGAAGAAUCACAAUGGGACUGUGUGCUAUGGUUAAGUCUGAUGUUUGUUUUUUUAAAAAAAUUCAUUAACGGAAAAAGCAUAUUUUCUUGCAGAUAGUUGUAUUUCCAGCGGUGAGGGAACAUUAAUAAGAUUUUUUGAUGCUUCAAAGGCUGAAGUCCCCUGAAUAGUUAGCUCUUGAUGAAAGGCAGGGAGUUGCAGUGCUUCUGUGGUAGGUGACUUCUUCAGCAGUGCAAAGAUUGAGAAUACGUAAGGAAUGGGUCAAGAGAGGAAAAGCAAGAUUGCCCCAUUAAAAUACCAUCCUCAUUAAAUAUGGCCUCAUUCCUCGAAGUAAUCAGCUUCAUACAUGCAUUGGUUUGGAAUCUUUUCUACUGAAAUUUGUCAAAUGCAGAGUAUUUUUAAUGGGAAAAAAAUGUAUCGUGUUCCAUAGAUGCUUAUUAGUCUGCAUUAAAGACAAAGCUGAGGGUAGAGUUGGUGUAAAUCCCUGAAAGUCAGUGAUGACAAAUUUAUUUUCCUGUUCAGUGUUUUUAAUAAGUAUUUAUAAGAACAGAUGGUGGGCAGCAGCAGAACAUGUUCAGUUUUAUCGAGACAUUUGGCUAACAAGCACAGACUAAGAUGCAUUUCUUUCCUUCUCGACUUAAUAAUUUUAAUUAGAGGCAAAAGGUGUGGUAGUCUCAUUGUCUGGAGGCAUAUGUGCAAUAUUGUGUUGGCUGGGCAGGGCUGGGUGGGAGAGAAUAUCACUGCCUGUAAUGAAGGGUGGUGCAUAUCUAUGCAAUCUCUAUUUUUUUUUAUUGUCUGGUAAUCUAAAAAAUGCAAAUUCCAAAUCUGCUAUUGCACAACACAGAGAGAGAUACACUGAGGCUAUGCUUUCAGUUAGUCAGAGAACAAAAACAUGACUACAAAACGUGUAUAAGUAAUACACACUGUCGCUGGAGAAGAAAGGCUUUUUAACAAAUAGUGGGACAUGUAUUUAUUAUCUUGAUGGGGAAUUUCAAAGUUCCCCAUGGAACUUAGCGGUCUCUGGAACUCCUUUGCUAUUUAAAUGCUUUUGAAAAUCUCACUUAUUAAGUACUCAUUUUGAACUUUAUAUGCUCCCUCCCUAAGGACAUCAAAGUGUUCUGGAAGUAGUAAUUAAAGAUCAUAUGCUCUAAUGGUGUUCUGGUCAUUUAACCUACUUAUCUCUGGUCAUGUUCUAGUUAUUUUCCAGAUGGACUUACCCAGGCUGGAUGUGGCUUUUGUCCUUUACCACUGAGCCAAGCCCCAGCGCAGAGCUGCUUCUCCUGUGCUUGGAUACAGCAGUGGGAGGUGGGGAGCAUAACAGAACAGGGCUGGUCCCAAAAGGAACCACUGAAAUGAGAUUUGUACCCUGAGCAGCCCUGCCACGACAUUCUUACUGAAUGCUCCUUCUGUGUGAAUGGAUUAUGAAAACAUUCAAAAUGUCAUCUUGUGAAUGCUAUUUUCUUAGAGCAGUGUGCUUCAGAUAUUUUCCACUAGAAGCUAAGCUGCCCUCAUGUUCGGCUCUCAUAGUCCUCUUGAAGAUGGUUGGCUGGUAUACCAUCAUAAGGAAACGUCAUGGUAUAUAAGCAGAGUACUUUCUAACAAAAAAUCUGCUAUUGACUUCAGAUUUUCAUUCAUGUAAGUGUGAAACUUUAAACAGAUGAUUUAUAUAUAUAUAUAUUUUAUAAGACUUUAUUGAAGAUUUUCCCUUACUGAGUGAAGUUUACUUCUUGAGAACAGUUUAAAUAGCUAUCCUCCUCCUGGCUGUAAAAGGGCAGCACAGCUUUAUCAGUCAUUAUCUCACGGCCUUUGAUCAGUGCUGUUCAUCUCACUGUGCACAGCUACCAGUGUUACCUGUGCGGCUCUUUACGACUACAGACUUUUUUUUUAUGUUCUCAGUGACUGUGUAUCUCUUGCUGGGAUUAGUGCCAUUUCUGAACUGUAUUACCAAGACUUAUGAGGUAGCCUGGGUGCUUGAUCUAGUGGUUGCCAACGCUGCCCACAGCAGGGGGUUGGAACUCAGUGAUCGUUAAGAUCCCUUCCAACACAAGCCAUAUGAUGAUUCUGUGAGACAGAGAGCGCUUGUCUCACCUGUCCAGCUGCUGGAGUCUUCCCAUGCAGUGCUUGACGCUGAGAGCAGAGGUUUUGCUCACAUGCACAGCUGUCAUCCAGACACAAGUCACAUCGGAAGUCUGUAAGGUCACCACUUAAAGGGAUUAGUGUUCUAGUCCUUAUGGUCUACCAGACCUUUCCAUAUAUCAAACAUAUGCUUGGACCAUGGAAAUGCUGGAGGAAGAGGCAGCCAGGAUGUCCUGUGAUAACUCUGUGCAGCAGUCCCUGUGGAUGCCUGCACUUUGGGAAGUUCCAGAGCUUGAUGGUCAGCAGUAAACCAGGGCAGCAAAGAAACCAGGGCCAAACACUGAAAUAGGUAACUUCAGAUGGCUCCUAUAGGCAGACUGACACGUACGGAGGUUUGGAGAUCUGAUCUCAAGUGGCACAGCUGGCACUGCUCUGCUGCCUGGAGAAGAGCUGCUUUGGUUACAUGUGGUGAGGUGCUGGCCCCGAGCAUCCAGACUGCUUCAUCCUAUUGGUCUGAGAUGAAAAAUACAGAUUUUGUUGGCUUACAAGGGUAGGAAGGAUUUAUCUCCUACAGGGCAUGUCCAAUCAGUUAUGUUUCUUAGAUGUUGUGUACUGUUUUUGAAAAGAGAGAGAAAUGGUUUGCUAGGAACAAACCUGUCUCUCCCCAUCUAAUCACCCGGAGAAAAAAGCUGUUGAAAACAAAUUUACUUGUUCCUGUGUGUAUCUUCCCAGCCAUUAAGCUGGUGUGUAGGAAACUGAGCUUUGCACGCGCUCCUUCCUUGCCCUUCUGCCCUUAAUUGAGUAAUAUACUAUUCUGUGAAUAGAUCCACUGGUUUCAACUCACUGGUAUGAAUGUGUCAGGUCAGCAGUGAAUGCCAGUCCACACACUGCUGUGUAAGAGGCAGGGCAGUACCUGCAAUUUUAUUCUAAUGUGCAAUUAACACAAAUAAUCUGACUUUGGAUCAAGUAACAAAAAAGAUACAAGAAUGAAGAUAAAAAUUCAGAGCACUAAGUUUUUACUAGUUGUCUGCACAGAUGUAGGGAUGACCUAGCACUGUUAGCACAAAGAAUAUUCACGCUGGGGGCUGUCAGUUCCGGACCUUGGCCCUUCUGCUGCUGCUGCAGGGGCUGACUGGUGGCACAGGUGAUGAGCCUGUCACAGCACUGUCAGAGCGGUGGUCUAAAACUGGCUAUGGAGUGCUCUGCAGGCUACCACAUGUACCCUGGCUGCUGCUCAGUGGGUUUCAAAGAAGGCUUUUCUCCUUCCACUGCCACUAAGGAAAUACAAAGGCUCUCAAUACCUGCUUUCCAGCCACUUGCCUUCACUGGUACUCGGCUCUUGGAGCUGCUCUGAGGGCCACCAAGAGAACACUGAUCUCGAGUAAGUUCCCCAUACUUAAUCCACAUAUGUCCAUGUGCAUACUGUUUGUGCUAUUUCUACAGCACUGCAGAAAUCUUCUGUUUUCCUCGCAUAUAUGCGAAGUGCAGCUUUGCUUCUGCCAUCAUCUCACAAUUUUACUGUGACUUGAAAAAAGAGUGUGCAUGGGGCAGGACAGCACACCGGGAGUUCAGGGAGGAGAACACUACAACAUUGGAUUAAAACAAUUCUGAAGGGUGAGUAAUGGAAAGCUGGCAGUUAAUUUUUGGUGUCUUGCUUAGCACAUACCUCCACAGAACCUCUACACGUGUGUUAUCAAAGUGACUCUCUAAGCAAAAACCUAGGUGAUAUACAAAGAACAGAACAGACUUUCCACGUCCAUUUCAUUUAAUUCCAUUAGCCAAUUUCACAGCUGAUUUGUCAGAGGGAAGCCUAUUUACGAAGACAACCUGAGUAAAUAUGAUUGAUUGCCUCGUCAGCCCCUGUAAUUUCACUUUUUAUAGUUCUCAUAUCAGAUAUGUGAUUUCAGACUUCAGAAGGAAUGGAAAGAAUAGAGAAAAGAAGCAACAGUUUGACCAAGAUUUACAUCAGACGUACAUCAAGUAGAAGAGUUAGGAACCAUAUUUGAGACUUAAAAGGCUUAAGGAAAAAGCCUGUUAUAUAAAAAAUGCUGUGACGAUGUAUAUUCUCAUAUGUCAACUGUUAUUCAGCAGUUGUUAUUAUGUGAUAUAUGAGCUCCAGGAUGAAGUCAUAUGAACAAUAUUUCCUCAUGUUUUACACUGAACUGUAUAAUGUAUGUAUGCAUUCUGCAUGUCCAAAGCAUUAAUUAAAUCCUAUUAAGUAAACUCUGCAUUUUGGGAGGCAGAAUUAAACUUGAGUAAAGCAUAACAGUCAUUAAGUUCAUUUGCUUUAAUUUAGAAAAUGCUCCUAUCAUAAACAUCUAUUGCUAGUACUCAAAAAGGCGUAAAGUAUGUUUUGGCAAUUUGAUUGCAAAAGCACUGAACAGAACAGUCUAUAUUCCUCCCCAAGCCUUCCCCCUCCGAAAAGGAGAAAAAGUGCAAUGUUUCUAUAGAAAAAUAACAUGAACAAAUAGCUAGAUUUUGAAACAUGUCUUAAAGGCUGAAAUUUUAAGUGUUUUUUUUUCAGUGAAAAGAAGCUAGUCAGUGCUCCCCAUCACCCUGUAUUAAUUUUCUGUCUGCAUAAUCAUUCCCACUUUCAGUGGCUCUUAUUCAUGUUCCAAAUGGAUGGAUGUGUCCAAAUGAAAAAAAUAAAAUACAUAGAUCAUGCACUCUACAAGGGAAAAGGGAAUACUGAUAUCUUGACUAACAUCAGGAAUGGUUUUGAAGUGAUGGAGGUCUAUAGAGCAUGUAUAACACGUGGUACAUGUGAGAGGCUUUUAGAUAAGUUACUACACAACUGCUGUUCCCUUCUGGGGAAGGGAGGUCUCUGAUUCUUACUCGAAAAAGGCAAAUGUUGUGUCCAUUGUUAAGCAAAGCAAGGAGGAGUAUGCACCUCAGUCCCUGGAAAGAUUAUGGAUCUUGUCCUGAAAAUCAUCUCCAGGCAUGUAUGGAUGUAAAUGUAAUCAGGAACAGUCAGUGCAGAUUUACAAAGGGCAAGUCCUCCUUGACAAACCUGACUGCACUCUGUGAUGAAAUGAUGGCCUAUGCUGACGAAGGGAGAGGGCUGGACAGAGGAUGUAUUGGCUUUAGUGAUGAUUUUAACGCUGUCAGAACCAAGUGAGAAAACCAAACUCCUCUCUUAGAGAUGGCAGGUGGUAUAAUAUGGGGUUGUCAACGGUUUACAGGCGUUUGGCCCGGUUCCAUGACAAAGGGGACGGAGGACCCACGGGCCCAUGCCCUGGGAAAAGGGAAAAGGGGAAAAG